AAAUGGCCAAUGUGAUAGAAAAUGUUUAAUUCAAAAAGUCAAAAAUGCACCUCACUUGAAAUUCAAACAUGCUAGGUUCAAAAAUGCCAUUUUGAUUGGCAAUGUUUUGGCACAUGAAGUUUACAUUUUUGGAAAGAGGAGGUAAAAUGUGGUUUGUAGGAAAAAACCCCACCAAAAUUGGCCAAAUGGUUUGAGAGAUAUGGCCUUUUGAAGUUCAAGAUUUUGUGAAAAUGAUUUGAU
rnacentral:lncRNA from 1 species